rnacentral:rRNA from 1 species
UACGAAGGUCCCGAGCGUUGUUCGGAAUCACUGGGCGUAAAGGGAGCGUAGGCGGCGCGGUAAGUCAGAUGUGAAAUCCCGGGGCUCAACCCCGGAACUGCAUCCGGUACUGCCGUGCUAGAGGACUGGAGAGGCAACUGGAAUUCUCGGUGUAGCAGUGAAAUGCGUGGAUAUCGAGAGGAACACUCGUGGCGAAAGCGAGUUGCUGGACAGUAUCUGACGCUGAGGCUCGAAGGCCAGGGUAGCGAAAGGG